rnacentral:rRNA from 1 species
GGCGACAUGCUCAGUAACACGUCGUUAACCUGCCCUAAGGUCGAGGAUAACCUCGGGAAAACUGAGGGUAAUACUCGAUAUGGGAUACAUUCUGGAAUGAAGUAUCCUUGAAACUCGUGCCUUAGGAUGGGACGGCGGCCGAUUAGAUUGUUGGUGGGGUAAAGGCCCACCAAGUCUACGAUCGGUACGGGCCGUGAGAGCGGUAGCCCGGAGAGGAACACUGAAAUACUGGUUCCAGCCCUACGGGGUGCAGCAGGCGCGAAACCUUUACAAUGCACGAAAGCGUGAUAAGGGAAUCCCAAGUGCUCAUGCUUAGCAUGGGCUUUUGUUAAGUGUAAAUAGCUUGGCGAAUAAGUGGUGGGAAAGACUGGUGCCAGCCGCCGCGGUAAUACCAGCGCCACAAGUGGCAACCGUUUAUUUGGUCUAAAGCGUCCGUAGCAGGUUCUGUAAAUCUUUUGUGAAAUGUCUAGGCUUAACUUAGACGAUUGCAGGAGACACUGCAGAACUCGAGACCGGGAGGAGUUAGAGGUAUGCAUGAGGGACCGGUAAAAUGGGAUAAUCUCAUGCAGACCACCGAUGGCGAAGGCAUCUAACCAGAACGGAUCUGACUGUGAGGGACGAAAGCCAGGGGAGCGAACCGGAUUAGAUACCCGAGUAGUCCUGGCCGUAAACGCUGUGAGCAAGGUGUUGCUCAUUCUACGUGAAUGUGCAGUGUCGAAAUGAAGAUAUUAAGCUCACCACCUGGGAAGUAUGGUCGCAAGGCUGAAACUUAAAGGAAUUGGCGGGGGAGCACCACAAGGGGUGCGGCGUGCGGUUUAAUCUAACUCAACGCAGAAAAUCUUACUAGGGGCGAGGGCAGGAUGAAGGUCAAGCUGAAGACUUUACCUGACACGCCCAGAGGUGGUGCAUGGCCGUCGUCAGCUCGUGCCGCAAGGUGUCCUCUUAAGUGAGGUAACGAGCGAGACCUGUACCUACAAUUGCUAACAGCUGCUUACAGGACUGAGCUCAGUGUAGGGACUGCCUCGGAAACGAGGAGGAAGGUGCAGGCUACGGUAGGUCUGUAUGCCCCGAAUCCCCUAGGCUACACGCGCGCAACAAUGGUUAGGACAAUGGGUCGCAACACCGAAAGGUGAAGCUAAUCCUCGAAACCUAAUCCAAGUCUAGAUUGAGGGUUGUAACCCACCCUCAUGACAACGGAAUCCCUAGUAAUCAGAAGUCAUUAUCUUCUGGUGAAUAUGUCCCUGCUCCUUGCACACACCGCCCGUCAAACCAACCGAGCAGAUUCUUGGUGAAACUCAGUCUAUUAACUGAGCUGAAUCUAGGACCAGUGAGGUGGGUUAAGUCGUCACAAGGUA